rnacentral:rRNA from 1 species
ACUAACAAGGAUUCCCCUAGUAACUGCGAGUGAAGCGGGAAAAGCUCAAAUUUAAAAUCUGGUGGUCUUUGGCCUCCGAGUUGUAAUUUAGAGAAGCGUCUUCCGCGCUGGAACCGUGCACAAGUCUCCUGGAAUGGAGCGUCAUAGAGGGUGAGAAUCCCGUCUUUGGCAUGGACACGCCAGGGCUUUUGUGAUGCGCUCUCGAAGAGUCGAGUUGUUUGGGAAUGCAGCUCAAAAUGGGUGGUGAACUCCAUCUAAAGCUAAAUAUUGGCGAGAGACCGAUAGCGAACAAGUACCGUGAGGGAAAGAUGAAAAGCACUUUGGAAAGAGAGUGAAACAGUACGUGAAAUUGUUGAAAGGGAAACGCUUGAAGUCAGUCGCGUCGACCGAGACUCAGCCUCGCCUCGGCUUGGUGUACUUCUCGGCUUGACGGGUCAGCAUCAAUUUUGCCCCUUGGAUAAUGGCGAGGGAAAUGUGACACCUUUACGGUGUGUUAUAGUCUCUCGUCGCAUGCAAGGGUUGGGAUUGAGGAACUCAGCACGCACCUUUGGGUGUCGGGGCUUUGCCCACGAUACGUGCUUAGGAUGUUGGCGUAAUGGCUUUAAACGACCCGUCUUGAAACACGGACCAAGGAGUCUAACAUGCCUGCGAGUGUUCGGGUGGAAAACCCGUGCGCGCAAUGAAAGUGAAAGUUGGGACCUCUGUCGUGGAGGGCACCGACGCCCGGACCAGACCUUCUGUGACGGCUCUGCGGUAAAGCAUGUAUGUUAGGACCCGAAAGAUGGUGAACUAUGCCUGAAUAGGGUGAAGCCAGAGGAAACUCUGGUGGAGGCUCGUAGCGAUUCUGACGUGCAAAUCGAUCGUCAAAUUUGGGUAUAGGGGCGAAAGACUAAUCGAACCAU